UACGUAGGAGGCAAGCGUUGUCCGGAAUUACUGGGCGUAAAGCGCGUGUAGGUGGUGGGACAAGUCUGCUGUGAAAGCGCCUGGCUUAACCGGGCGAGGUCGGCGGAAACUGUCCGACUCGAGGACGGUAGAGGGGGGGUGGAAUUCCCGGUGUAGUGGUGAAAUGCGUAGAGAUCGGGAGGAACACCUGUGGCGAAGGCGGCCCCCCUGGGCCGGCCCUGACACUGAGACGCGAAGGCGUGGGGAGCGAACGGG
rnacentral:rRNA from 1 species